AACAGAGGUGGCAAGCGUUGUUCGGAAUUACUGGGCGUAAAGGGCGCGUAGGCGGUUCGUUAAGUCCUGUGUGAAAUCCCCCGGCUCAACUGGGGAACUGCACAGGAAACUAGCGGGCUUGAGUUCGGGAGAGGGAAGCGGAAUUCCGGGUGUAGCGGUGAAAUGCGUAGAUAUCCGGAGGAACACCGGUGGCGAAGGCGGCUUCCUGGACCGACACUGACGCUGAGGCGCGAAAGCUAGGGGAGCAAACGGG
rnacentral:rRNA from 1 species